GUGUCAGCCGCCGCGGUAAUACGGAAGGGGCAAGCGUUGUUCGGAAUCAUUGGGCGUAAAGGGCGCGUAGGUGGUCUUGUGUGUCUACCGUGAAAGCGUACGGCUCAACCGUAUUUAGUCGGUAGAAACUGCAGGACUUGAGGCUGGGAGGGGCUGGUGGAAUUCCCUGUGUAGCGGUGAAAUGCGUAGAGAUGGGGGAGAACACUCGUGGCGAAGGCGGCCAGCUGGACCAGUUCUGACACUGAGGCGCGAUAGCGUGGGGAGCAAACAGGAUUAGAUACCCCCGUAGUCC
rnacentral:rRNA from 1 species